UUUGUAAAUAGUGUAAAGUGUGACCUGUAGGAGGAGACCGUUACUAGAGACCGUUGGACACCUGCUCCCAGGUAGAGCUGAUCAGGAGCUGGGACCAAGCUAAAGAGCAAGAUCUUUUCUUGCUUCCUGACCUUGGAAUUGGGAAGAAAGAUACUCAUGAGAGGUUUCUGCCAUAGUAUCUGCAUGGCUCAGUGACUGCCAAUAUGAGCUGUGAACAAAGUGAGCAAGAUGGGUCACCAGCAGCUCUACUGGAGCCAUCGAGGAAAUUCGGCCAGGGUUCUCCUUCCUGCCGCGUCUGCUCAAACGGCCGCGGUCUGAUCUGGAAGUACGGCCUCAACAUGUGCCGCCAGUAUUUCCGUCAGUACACGAAGCACAAAAGGUUUAAGUUGGACUAAGUGAACUUCCAUAAAUGGGUCGUUCAAGACAUCUACCUUAUGACAGAAUGCUCUCUCUUUGUCCAUAAAAUAAUAAAACAAAACAAAAAAAACCCCAGUUCACUUUCA